rnacentral:rRNA from 1 species
AAUAAGUGCACACGGUGGAUGCCUUGGCAGUCAGAGGCGAAGAAAGACGUGACAGCCUGCGAAAAGCGUCGGGGAGGCGGCAAUAUCCUGUGAUCCGGCGAUAUCUGAAUGGGGAAACCCACUUGCCAGAAGGCAAGUAUCGUAACUAAUACGAAGCGAACCGGGAGAAGUGAAACAUCUCAGUACCCCGAGGAAAAGACAUCAAAAGAGAUUCCCCUAGUAGCGGCGAGCGAACGGGGAGGAGCCGACGAAUUUAGACGUAGAGGAAUCACCUGGAAAGGUGAAUCAUAGAGGGUGACAAUCCCGUACUCGAAACGUUUAGAUAAGCAUAUUAAGUAGAGCGGGACACGAGAAAUCCUGUUUGAAGAUGGGGGGACCAUCCUCCAAGGCUAAAUACUCCUGACUGACCGAUAGUGAACCAGUACCGUGAGGGAAAGGCGAAAAGAACCCCUGUGAGGGGAGUGAAAUAGAACCUAAAACCGUGUGCAUACAAGCAGUGGGAGCCGAGAGGUGACCGCGUACCUUUUGUAUAAUGGGUCAGCGACUUAUAUUCUGUAGCGAGGUUAACCGAAUAGGGGAGCCGCAGGGAAACCGAGUCUUAAUAGGGCGUAUAGUUGCAGGGUAUAGACCCGAAACCGAGUGAUCUAUCCAUGAGCAGGUUGAAAGUGACGUAACAGUCACCGGAGGACCGAACCCACUCCCGUUGAAAAGGUAGGGGAUGACUUGUGGAUAGGGGUGAAAGGCUAAUCAAACUCGGUGAUAGCUGGUUCUCCCCGAAAGCUAUUUAGGUAGCGCCUCGGACGGACACCAUGGGGGGUAGAGCACUGUUUCGGCUAGGGGGUCAUCCCGACUUACCAAACCGAUGCAAACUGACGAAUACCCAUGAGUGAUAUCCGGGAGACAGACGGCGGGUGCUAACGUCCGUCGUCAAGAGGGAAACAACCCAGACCGCCAGCUAAGGCCCCAAAUUCCUGGUUAAGUGGGAAACGAUGUGGGAAGGCAUAGACAGCUAGGAGGUUGGCUUAGAAGCAGCCAUCCUUUAAAGAAAGCGUAAUAGCUCACUAGUCGAGUCGGCCUGCGCGGAAGAUGUAACGGGGCUCAAACCAGGAGCCGAAGCUGCGG